AUUGAACGCUGGCGGCAGGCUUAACACAUGCAAGUCGAGCGGAGAUGAGGUGCUUGCACCUUAUCUUAGCGGCGGACGGGUGAGUAAUGCUUAGGAAUCUGCCUAUUAGUGGGGGACAACAUUCCGAAAGGAAUGCUAAUACCGCAUACGCCCUAUGGGGGAAAGCAGGGGAUCUUCGGACCUUGCGCUAAUAGAUGAGCCUAAGUCGGAUUAGCUAGUUGGUGGGGUAAAGGCCUACCAAGGCGACGAUCUGUAGCGGGUCUGAGAGGAUGAUCCGCCACACUGGGACUGAGACACGGCCCAGACUCCUACGGGAGGCAGAAGUGGGGAAUAUUGGACAAUGGGCGGAAGCCUGAUCCAGCCAUGCCGCGUGUGUGAAGAAGGCCUUUUGGUUGUAAAGCACUUUAAGCGAGGAGGAGGCUACUUAGAUUAAUACUCUAGGAUAGUGGACGUUACUCGCAGAAUAAGCACCGGCUAACUCUGUGCCAGCAGCCGCCGUAAUAC
rnacentral:rRNA from 1 species